rnacentral:rRNA from 1 species
GAAUCCCGUCUUUGGCACGGACACACCAGGGCUUUUGUGAUGCGCUCUCGAAGAGUCGAGUUGUUUGGGAAUGCAGCUCAAAAUGGGUGGUGAACUCCAUCUAAAGCUAAAUAUUGGCGAGAGACCGAUAGCGAACAAGUACCGUGAGGGAAAGAUGAAAAGCACUUUGGAAAGAGAGUGAAACAGUACGUGAAAUUGUUGAAAGGGAAACGCUUGAAGUCAGUCGCGUCGACCGAGACUCAGCCUUGCCUUGGCUUGGUGUACUUCUCGGCUGACGGGUCAGCAUCAAUUUUGCCCCUUGGAUAAUGGCGAGGGAAAUGUGACACCUUUACGGUGUGUUAUAGUCUCUCGUCGCAUGCAAGGGUUGGGAUUGAGGAACUCAGCACGCACCUUUGGGUGUCGGGGUUUUGCCCACGAUACGUGCUUAGGAUGUUGGCGUAAUGGCUUUAAACGACCCGUCUUGAAACACGGACCAAGGAGUCUAACAUGCCUGCGAGUGUUCGGGUGGAAAACUCGUGCGCGCAAUGAAAGUGAAAGUUGGGACCUCUGUCGUGGAGGGCACCGACGCCCGGACCAGACCUUCUGUGACGGCUCUGCGGUAAAGCAUGUAUGUUAGGACCCGAAAGAUGGUGAACUAUGCCUGAAUAGGGUGAAGCCAGAGGAAACUCUGGUGGAGGCUCGUAGCGAUUCUGACGUGCAAAUCGAUCGUCAAAUUUGGGUAUAGGGGCGAAAGACUAAUCGAACCAUCUAGUAGCUGGUUCCUGCC